GGGGAAGCUCUGCUGAUCUCAAUUAAUUCAGGGCAGGCUGAUAGAGCAGCUACCAUCUCGAAUAGCUCCAGCAGCCAUGCCAGUGAGGGAGAAAGAUCGCUGGAGGGUUGCGGGCUAAUGGCUGUCUACCGGAAGUGGCGAACAUCACUUCCGCUCACAGCUCGCUGGUCAGAAAGACUUAGCAGGUUGCGCUCAAUCGCAAGAGACCAGGAAAAGUAUUCCAACCGUGUAUGCAAUAGAGGGAAGAACCAUAAAUCUGUGCCGGUCAGCGGCAAUGACCAUCACUUUCUGAACAAGUGUGACCUGAUGAUGCAGUCACCAGUCUUGUCUCAGGCAGAGGACUGGAACUAACACAAGUGAGGCCAGAAGUGGACUGAGAACACAGGCAAUAAGAUGGGGACUUGAGACUGGCUCAUCGACUGUGCAGAGGAUGAAGGAAAUACCCUCCUGGUUGGCAAGUAAGCAGGGAUAGUCUCCGUCACAAGAGGAUGAAAUUGAGGCUCAUAUGAAUUAGUUUGCUGAAGGUCACAGAAGC
rnacentral:lncRNA from 1 species